rnacentral:rRNA from 1 species
GACGAACGCUGGCGGCGUGCUUAACACAUGCAAGUCGAACGGAAAGGCCCUGCUUUUGUGGGGUGCUCGAGUGGCGAACGGGUGAGUAACACGUGAGUAACCUGCCCUUGACUUUGGGAUAACUUCAGGAAACUGGGGCUAAUACCGGAUAGGAGCUCCUGCUGCAUGGUGGGGGUUGGAAAGUUUCGGCGGUUGGGGAUGGACUCGCGGCUUACCAGCUUGUUGGUGGGGUAGUGGCUUACCAAGGCUUUGACGGGUAGCCGGCCUGAGAGGGUGACCGGCCACAUUGGGACUGAGAUACGGCCCAGACUCCUACGGGAGGCAGCAGUGGGGAAUAUUGCACAAUGGGCGGAAGCCUGAUGCAGCAACGCCGCGUGCGGGAUGACGGCCUUCGGGUUGUAAACCGCUUUCGCCUGUGACGAAGCGUGAGUGACGGUAAUGGGUAAAGAAGCACCGGCUAACUACGUG